GUCAUUUCACUCGACACCUCCCAGGCAUGCAAGCGCAGCUCCUAUCUCUUUGAAUAAGGAAACAUCAAAUUCUGCAAAACUGUUCAUUAAGCUUUCGAUUAAAUUUCAUAUUCGAAAACACAUUAAAUCUGACAACAACAGUCUUAUAAGAUUUAUUUCUUAUGUUCAAAUACAUUUAAAAAAGCUUUUUAAUGCUAGACCAUCCAAUACACAUGCGCAGUCAUGAGCACGAGUUUUCAAACACUGCCUGUUUCUAUAGGAACCGGAGCUUCUAACGGUCGCUGCAGUGACGUAAUGAAUUUACUAAUCAACGACUGGCUCUUUCAUUUAGAAGGCGGUACUUAUUCGCCUUUACGGACACGUAUGAUGAGCACAAAACAAGUCUGUAACUGGUCGCCAUUUUGUGAGGGUCAUUCAUUCGCGGUUCAAUCAGUUAUGGGGUGAUUCUUGAAUGAUGUCUGUGUCUGUGCAACCAGAGUCGGUUUAUUGUGUGUAUUUAAAUUGUGAUGAAAGUCAGCAUUUGAUCGUCGUUAUUCGCGGACGCACAAAACAACUUUGAACACACACAUCACAAGAAACGUGUCGUCCUAACAUUAAAACUGGUUGUGGACGCCAUGCUUUCCUGAGAGGGUCCUUCGCGGCAGUUUGGUCGGUUAACGAUCUGAUCUCAUCAUCAUCCAGUCUGUCUGGAAUGACAUGAAGAAACAGAACGAGACAGAAUAAAUCCAGAAGAUCUGUGGCAACGUCUUUAAGAUGCUUCAAGAGACCUACCUGCGGAGCUACAGUACUGUUAAAAGUUUUAGACACUUGUGUGAAAAUGCUGUAAAAUGAGGAUGCUGUCAAAAAUAAUGCCAUAAAUAGAUCUUCUUUAUCAUUGAACUUCUAUUAACUAAAUUUAAUUAACAUUUGGUGUGACUAUCCUUUGAUUUUAAAGCAGCUUUUGCCCUAGGUGCACUUGUGCUUAGUUUUUCAGGUAGCUUUGCAGGUAGGAUUCUUUAGAAUCCAGUUCUUCUGGAUUUAGUCUGUCUCAGUUUUUGUUUCUCUAGUCAUUCCAGACAGACCCAAUGAUGAUGAGAUCAGAUCUUUGUGUGGAGCACUGACUGUUGUCAGACUCACUGGACUAUUACAAUUACUAAUGUUUAUCACCUAAGCCUCCUUGGAGGCAAAACACCUGGAGAUGCCAUCCGGAUGGUGUUGCGAACAGUUGGAACAAACAGUGUUUGGUGUCAAUACAGCAUUAAAGGAAGGAAUGGGGGAAGAGCUGGACAUUGCGGCAUGAUCAUUCAGGCUUGCCAAAAGAUGCAUCCAAAAGUGCCAGUUAAGGUGUUAGAAGAGUUCAUCUUGAAGUAUGCUCCCCAUCGUGAGUCAAGGAUGGAGUGUGAAGAGACAGGCCAUGGACCACAGUUCCCGCAGUGAUAGUUUUUCAGCACCCACACACAAUUCAGAAGUUCUCACUGAUUAAAUGUUAAUAUGAUAGUUUACGUUUACCUGUGAAGUUGUCCUUGUCAUGAAUAUUAAACUAAAUGUAAAACUUUUUUACAUGAUAGGCAAUUUUCACUAAUCUGUUUAAUCUGUUAAUGAGGUUUUUUUUGAAAGUGUGCAUCUUUAUUAAUUAAAAUACCUGAAAUGCCUGCAAUGUGCUUGUAUCUGGAAUGUUGUAAUAAUGAUGUUGAAAGAUGAUGUUGCAACACUGCUAAUCUUAAAAUAACAUUUUAUUAAACUAUACUUUGUAAAGUUCCAAAUAAUUGUUUUUAGAACUUUGUAUUUUUAGUAAAAUGUGGGUAAUGUUGUAGGAAUGUUAUGCUCACAAUAAAAUAACGUUCUAGUAACGUUAAGCAAACUGGACAUUUUAUUGUUCUUGGAAUGUUCCAAAUAAACGUUCAUAGAACGUUAUAUUUUUAAUGAAAUUUAGGUUGCAAGAACAUUGUAGGAACGUUAUGCUAACCAUAAAAUAACGUUCUAGUAACGUUAAGCAAACUGGACAUUUUAACGUUCUUGGAAUGUUCCAAAUAAACGUUCAUAGAACGUUAUAUUUUUAAUGAAAUUUAGGUUGCAAGAACGUUGUAGGAACGUUAUGCUAACCAUUAAAUAACGUUAUAGUAACGUUAAACAAACUGGACAUUUCCACGUUUUUGGAACAUUCCAAAUAACGUUCCCACAACCAAAACAGAACGUUAGCAAAACGUUCCCAGAACAAAAAUUUGUUAGCUGGGU